rnacentral:rRNA from 1 species
UGUAAGCGUAUACCAAAGUUGUUGCAGUUAAAACGCUCGUAGUCGGAAUUUGGCAGUUCCGGAUGUGUGCACGUCGUGUGCGCACUUCGCGGGGAUUGCUUUUGUGGUCUUGCGUAGGAUGAGGCACUUUUAUUAGUGAACGUCCUCACGCAACCACUUUUUACUGUGAGAAAAUCAGAGUGCUCAAAGCAGGCAUUUGCCGUGAAUGUAUUAGCAUGGAAUAAUAGAGUAGGACUUGGUUCUAUUUUGUUGGUUUGUUGGGACUGAGUAAUGAUUAAGAGGGACAGUUGGGGGCAUUUGUAUUUCGGUGCUAGAGGUGAAAUUCUUAGAUUGCCGAAAGACAAACUGCUGCGAAAGCGUCUGCCAAGGAUGUUUUCAUUGA